ACCUGCCAGGGCCAGCAAGGAGCACAGGCAGCAGCAGCUGGGGCUGCCCACGGCCUCCCUGCCCAGUGUGGGAGGAGCACUGCUCACCCGACAUCCUCCCUGCCUGUUCCUCCGCCACCAGCUGCAGGGCAGCCAGAGUGGGCUCCAGGGACCAGCCGCCUUCCACGGGGCCUCCCAGGCCUGCCCAACCCUGGCAGGUCACCCCCGGUUUCCAAGGGGAGAAUGCACCCUGGUGAGCAGCCUGUGUGUGCGCACGCACACACACGCACGCACGCACGCGAGCACACACACACACACACGCACACAUGCACCCUCUGCCUCCCGGGACCUCUGUCUGUCUUGACAAAUCAUCAGAGCGGGACGUGAAGUGACAAAUUCUCAGCACGUGUGGCGGCUCGGGCCCUGCUUCAGAUGGGAUCGAAGUCACACGCGGCCCCUUUGUCCCUGUCCCUCCCGGCUGCCCCCACCCACCCGGUGCGGUCCUGCUGUGAGCGCCGCAGGCUUCCACCCCUGCCCACCUACAAAGGCUCUGCGGAGGCCACGAUGUCAAACUUCGCCCGAGGGGCUUUCCGAAAAGCGGGGGCGACGGGAGGGUACCGAGCCCAGCGCCCUGUCGCCGGCAGCCACAGCCAAGGCCCUUCCCUCUGACCCGGACCCUGCGUUGCACCCGGAACCGGAGCCCUGCGCCUGGCUGAGUACCGCCGCCUCCUGCGCCCAGGGCCGCUGAAGGGCAUCUGCAGCCCGGGGCAAAACAACUUUGUCUGGGCCAAGAGUUUCCGGCUUUGCCCUGCAAUCCCCGAAGCGGCAGCGCGGGUGCGGAAUGGUGAGUCGAGCGGGAGCUAUUCUUAGGAGAACGGAGUCAGCCUCGGCUUACCUGGGACGAGGGCCCGCAGGCCCAGCCCGAGCGGAGGAGCGGAGGCCGAGAGAGGACUGCAGCGCUGUGUCAGAUUACACGGGGCGGGGGCGGGCAGGGGCGGCACCCGGCAGCGGCCAGGCCGAGGCGAGCCCGGCCCUGUGCGGCCCGGCUAGGAACGAUUCAUUAGUCUCCCGCAGGCUGGUCAGGGAAGGGGCCAGCCGCCACGCAGCGGCAGCUGGGCUGCGCAGCGUCAGUAGCCAGCACACACGGGCACGCACGCACACACACCAAGAUGGCUCUGUCCCCGCGCUGCCUGCCGGAGCCGCGGGUAGAGCUGUGGUCAGGAAGGAGCCAGCGGCGGCAGACACGGAGGCGGAGCCACUCGGCGGCCGUGGGGCUGCAGAUGCUCGGUGCAGAAGCCAGGCCAGGGCCUGCCUCCGGACGCACUGCCCACCACCUGGCCACCGCCCCUCCUCAGAACUGCCCGGCUGCUAGACUCACCGCUACCUAGCAACCGCGGUGCAGGGAGGUGCAGGGAGGUGCAGGGAGGUGCCGGGGUGCGUGUGUGGACUGCACGGCCAUGCACACGCACACGCGGACACACACGCACUUCCCCCCAAGUGGGGGGUUCCCGUCUGCUCUGCGGGACCCCACACCCACAGGCUCAGGGUGCCAGGAAGAGGACUGGAGAGGCACAGGACACCAUGUGGCACCAUGGGCCCCUCGGCAGGGCGGGGGGCUGAGCGGCUUUGCUCCCCCCAAGUCGCAGAGCUGCUUCGGCCUCAGGCCUCACCUCGCACAUCACCUCGAGUGACCGCAGCACGCAGCACGUGGCCAGCCGGGCCUUCCUAGGCCAGAUGCAGUUUCCCCUCUGAAUCGUCCACCUCUGACUCACCCGCAGGAUGAGGCCCCAGACCCCAGGCUCACUGCCCCCGCCUCUCCCACAGAGCUGAUUUGCCCAACGCCUGGAAGCUGGGGCCAAGGGCCUGUGCUCCCCCUGUCCCUGGGGAGGGAGCCAGCAGCCCUUCAGCAGCAGCCGGGCAGGGUUAGCAGAGCCCCUCACCAGCAGCAGCACCAGCCACACAGGCAGAGGCAGGGACACCCCAAGAUGUGGUCUGUCCCUGCAGUGGAAUAGUACUCAGCCAUGAAAAGCAGCGGGGUCUAAUUUCACAUGCGCGGUGUGGACCCUGAAAACAUGGUGCUGAGGGAAUCACGACGCAGUCGGCUGCACAGGGUGCGACUCUGAUUUCAUGAAAUGUGGAACCCAUCGGGACAGGCCGGUCAGUGGUGGCCAGGGUGGCUGGGGAGGGGUUGCCAUACUCGGGGGUGACAACAGCCAGUGGCCCUGGGCGGGGUGGGGGCUGCACGGCGCACGGAUGGGCGCACCCUGCACGACCAGCUCACACUAGCUCCUUCUAUGUUGUGGGAACCGACUGCAGGACCCAGCCAGACCUGGAGCCACGCGUGUGGCCCCACAGAGGCCAGGCCGCCCCCCCCCCCAGUGCACGAGGCCACAGGGCUGGACCAGAAGCACCCGGGCCCUCGGGGAGGACUGGAACCCAGCUUCUUGCCCGACUUCCUCAAAAACCCGGAGUCCAUGUUGGAAGUGGAUCUGUGGAUCCUGCUGGCCCUGGGUCCGAGCCUUCUGGAGCCCCAGAUGUGGUCUCAUGUGCAGGCACCGUGCCAUCCUGGGCGAGCACACGUGGGUGUCAGCCGGGUGGCCGCUCCGUCUCCACUGGGCCCAGCCCUAGCGCUGGACAGUGGGGCCCUCGAGGAGGUUGGAGCCCGAGUGUCCUGCAGCCAGGCCAGGGUCCUCCCUGGGUCACCACUGAUGCCACAAAACUCAGAACUUCGUGCAUACAACUCUGGAAACCAACCGUGCUGAGCCCUCGGCAGCAGGUCCCCAGGGCGCCAAGCUUGAAGCCACCCGUCCCGGGCAGUGGGGACGAGUUCCCAUGAGGGGCACCUGCCAGGUCCAGGGACAGGGAGGCCCAGGAGGAAGUCAAGUGUGGGGCCAGGCACCAGCCACAGCUCCCGCCCUGGGCCCUGGAGGUCCCAGGCCACAACUGCCCCUCCACCUGGGGCGCCAGCACCCACUGCCCUCUAACAGUGCCUGUCCUGCCUCCGAAAGGCCCACAGCCAGACUGGUCAGCUAGGCCUUGGCAAGCACCUUCCUGGGGGCUGGGAGCAGUGGGGACUGAGUCCAGGAAGCACUGAGUUUCACCCCCUAAAUCCCUGGCCCCUUUUUUGUUUGAGGUACUUGGGUCUGAACCUAGCCUUUGCAGUAAGCUAUAUCCUCAUCCCUUUUUUUUUAACCUUGAUACAGUGUCUUGCUAAUUUGCUGAGCUGCCAGACUGGGCUCCAACUGGGAUCCUCCCGCCUCAGCCUUCUGAGAAGCUGGGAUCACAGCCAUGGCAGGCCAGCUGUGGCAGCUCCCUGAAGGCAGGCGCUCACAGGAGCUGGGCAUCGUGCCAGGAGCUUUCUGGAAGGAGCGCGUGGUGCUCAAUGCUGUCUGCGUGAGAGCAGGGAACGAGGGCCAGGAAGCAGGUGUGCAGCAGGGCGCUGCAGUAGGCAGGAACACGGUCACUAACAAGGACCAGGCGGGGGCGGGUGCUGCGUGGGCUACGCAAGAUGACGGUCAUGCGUCAUCUCGUUCCAGCAAACAUAUGCAAUGUUGUAUACGGAUGUGUUUACUAUUUCGGGCAAAAAUCAGUAGCUUUCCUACGUAAGGGUGACGACCCACUGGAAACGGAAGAAAAAGCCCCUUACACUGAGCUCCAUCCCCAGCCCCUUUAUUCUUUGAGACAGGGUCUUGAUAAAUUGCCUGGGCUGGGCUGGAACCUGUGAUCCUCCUGCCUCAGCCUCCCAAGCAGCAGGAAGGCUUCAUCACCACACCCAGCCAUGGUUGGAUUUUUAGCGGGUCUGGCAGCCCUUUGCUGGAUGAAUCCCAUAACCCAAAACACAGGGCUGCAGAGGGCCAGGCUGAGACACCCAUUUUGGCUUUGAAGAAUGCGUUCCAUCCUCUGGAGAGGGGAAAGUCCACACGCGGGUGGCAGCUAGGAGGUACGCUCCCCGCCCGUGCCCCUCCUGCAGGCUGAGGGUCCCCAGCCCCUGGGGGAGGCAGCCCUGAGCCUGCUGCUGCCCCUCCUCCAAGGACCCAGGGGUGACCCUGCUGAGGACGACGGGCCCCGCCACCCGGCCCCGGAACCUUCCACAAACCCACGUCCCGAGCAAGCGGGCACCAGAUGGUGCCACCUGCCUGCCACCCACCGCCAGAUGGAGCUGCCACGCACCCCGCACUCUCGGCUCUCUGGCCUCCCCGGUGUGGGCCCAGCCACCUGGCUCCCUGCGGGACUCGCUCCAGGAUGGGCCUGCCGGACCCACCAUCCCAUCUGAGUCAGAGCACCCCGUCGACAUGUCCAGCUGCAGAUCCCAACACAGUGGCUGGCGAGUGCAACCCCUAUGCUGGGGCCCUGGAGUGGAGCUCAGCCACCAGGACUCCUUCCUGCAGUGUUGCUGAGGGGCAGCAAGCAGGAGCACCCUGAUUGGCUGGUUUCCCCCCUGGAUGCGGCAUCCAGGCCACAGUGGUCAGGGCUCCAGACAGUUGAAGCCCGAAGAGCUCAGGGAGGCGGGGUCGGCCCAGCAGAACCCGGACUUCCGGGCAGGGGUGGCAGGGGACAGCGCCAAAGAUGCCCACGUGGGAUCCAACUGAGCAAGCCAAAUGGACUCAGAACGCCCCAGCCAGGCCGAUCCUGCAACCUUUGAUGGACAGCACAGAGAGGACCUGGUCAUGGGACCCAGCUGUACCCACGGCCUGGAGACGGGGCUACCAUGGGUCCCCACAAAUCCUUUGAAAGGGUCUGCGUCAGCAGCGAAGGCCCUGAAAGAGCAGGAGUCCCCGGCAGGGGACAGGCCGGUGUCCACAUCCACAAGCCAGAGCCCUGCCCAGUGUGCAGUGGAUGGUGUCACAGCCAGCCUUGCCACCCCAGGACUCUGAGUCUGCAGUGCUGGUGCCCGUCCCCAGGAGAGAGCUGGUGUCCCCACCAUGGGCUUUGCUCCAUCCCUGCCCAGGCGUCUGUUAUCACAGAUUCCGAGUCGCUGCGCCUGCCCAGGGCUGGCUGGGGUGCAGACACUGCCGUGGCUUCUGAGGGUGGCGGGUCCAGGGGUCCCCGGCCCAGGAGGGAUGCGUGCUGGAUCAAGGGGCAGCAACCCCACGGCUCCUUCCAGUAGUGGGGCCGGGGAAGCUGUCCCAUCCCCACUCCCCCUGCCGUCUCGGCUGUGCGUGGACGGUGGCUGAGUGGACGUCACCGACGGAGCUGUGCACACAGAUCCACAGAGGUGGGCACCGUGGCACAUGGAAGGCAGAACUCGCAGGCCAGCUCUGCACACCACGGUCAGCAGAUGACACUAACAGGUACAGAGCUCAGGGCAAAAGGACUGGAACAAAACACAACGCUGGGUCCGGGUAAAGGCGGCAGAAGUGAUGUGGGGGUGGGCAGACAGGAGGGCCAGGAGGGAGAAAGCCAUGGGCGAUAUUUAUGUGCACCAGCAGGAAACUGUUAUGUCUCAAAUAGAUACAUUUGUUUAAAUGUCCACAGAGUCGCUUAUACAUUCUCCCACUUCUGCAAAUGUUAAAUUAGAAUAAAGGAUGUUUCCAUUGCAGUGAUCCCAUGCCACCCGGGGGACAGUGAUCACCGUCUCGGUCACCCGGGGCGUGCUGUCCAGGGAGCCUGUCUACACCAAGCCCCGCUGGGUGUGUCCAGCGCUGCCCAGCCCAGGCCGGCACCAAGGCAGGGGUGGGGUCUCCGGGCCUCUGGCCUUGGGUGUGGGAACACAGCCUUUCCGGGUGCAGGACUCAGGACGGAUGCUUCAGACAGGAGAAACCGGAGUGCACAGUGCAGGGCUCACCCUGGCCGCUCCAGUCCCUUCUAACCUCAUCCCCCGAGUGGCCAAGUGUGGUGAGGUUUCCUGGAGUGUGGAGUAAAAAAGGAAUGACUUGAAAGAAACGGAAGACAAUUAGACAAGAGGAAGGGGGUCUCGGGAAGGAGAGGGAGGGUAAUGAGGGGUGGAUAUGACCAAAAUAUGUUAUAUGCAUGUGUACCACCACGAGGAACCCCAAGGAAAAAGAACCAAUGCAAAAAAAGAGGAACUAGUGAGAUUAGUUCACUUUGCAUUCUCUUAUUUCCCAUUGUGAAUACGGAUAUGAUGGCUGGAGCUGUGGCAACUACAUUGUAACCAUGAAGAAAGGUCAAUAGAAUCAUGACAUUCCUGUAAUACCUGAGCCAUGGAUGUUGAGUCACUGCCGGCAGCUGUGCACUCAAACUGCUUCUCGAGGGAGAAAAAUAAAGUCCUACUUAUCUGAGUCACUA
rnacentral:lncRNA from 1 species